UUCAAGGACCGCGAGCUCAGGAUUGUGGGUGAGGUCGGUGCCAAGAUCCGAGUCUUAGACUUCAUUUCUCCCGAUGUCCAGGUUCUAAAUUUAAUGGUUUAAAAACCCGAAUUGAAGACGUAGCUGGAAGAAGAAGAAGAGGGCGUGUAGUACUAAGGAAAAGAAAGCUGAGAAGGACACAAUUGUUUGUUACUCAAAAGGCGCUUGUAUCCUAAUUAUUUGGCGAGUUCUAUAUAAAGGGAAAAAAAUUUAUAUCUUCAGACUCGAUGCUCCCCUGAGCGAGUGAUUAGAGUGAUUGAAAAAUUGGAACCAAAGCAAAAGACAGCCAUAGAAGAAAUAGGAUUUGGUAGCCUCUUGCAACUUCGAUGUAGGAAAAUUGAUCAUGGGUUAUGUCUUUGGUUGAUAAAUAGUUUUAAUCCGAACACUUAUAUGUUACAAUUGUAUAAUACUUGUAUCAAAUUAUCCCCCAUUGAUGUUGAAUUUAUUAUGGGAUUGAGGGCAAGAGGGUUCAAGAUUGGCAUGAACAAAGA